AGACACAAAUCUCGUGAGUGGCGAACGGAUGAGUAACACGUGGGCAAUCUGCCCUGCACUCUGGGAUAAGCCUGGGACACUGGGUCUAAUACUGGAUAGUGCAGGAUGAGCCCGCGGCCUAUCAGCUUUUUGGUGGGGUAAUGGCUACCAAGGCGCGACGGGUAGCCGGCCUGAGAGGGUGAUCUGCCACAUUGGGACUGAGAUACGGCCCAGACUCCUACGGGAGGCAGCAGUGGGGAAUAUGGCACAAUUGGCGCAAGCCUGAUGCAGCCAUGCCGCGUGUAGGAAGAAGGCCUUCGGUUUGUAAAGUACUUUCAGCGGGGAGGCGUUACCCGCAGAAGAAGCACCGGCUAACUCCGUGCCAGCCGCCGCGGUAAUUC
rnacentral:rRNA from 1 species